CCAUCAUGAUUUGUUGAGCCACACCCAUCAUCCUCAGGCUGCCGUUUCAGCUCCAUCUCUGUCAGUGGUGUAGCUGUUAGGAUAACAGAACAAGUAUAUUUCAGUGUAAAACAGUCUUGUAUUAGCUGAAGUACAGAAUCAUUGUGAUAGCUACGAGUGUUCCAGGUUGAAUGAACAGUUCAGUGUAAAACUGUCUUGUAUUAGCUGAAGUACAGAAUCAUUGUGAUAGCUACGAGUGUUCCAGGUUGACUGAACAGUUCAGUCUGCUACAUCCUUCUCAAACAGUUCAUGGUUAUGAUAUUUCAGUUCAGUGUGGAACAGUCUUGUAUUAGCUGAAGUACAGAAUCAUUGUGAUAGCUACGAGUGUUCCAGGUUGACUGAGCAGUUCAGUCUGCUACAUCCUUCUCAAACAGUUCAUGUAUAUGAGGUUUCAUUAUAUAAUAUAAGAUAUUAAAACCAAAUAUUGAGUUUUACCUUCAGUCAUGGUUCUGUCCCUCUUUGCCAAUUUUUUGUCAAAUGUCACCAGCUCUUUCAGGUCCUCUGCCUGCGUUGAACCAGCUCUUUCAGCUCCUCUGCCUGCGUUGAACCAGCUCUUUCAGGUCCCCUGCCUGCGUUGAACCAGCUCUUUCAGCUCCUCUGCCUGCGUUGAACCAGCUCUUUCAGCUCCUCUGCCUGCAUUGAACCAGCUCUUUCAGGUCCUCUGCCUGCGUUGAACCAGCUCUUUCAGGUCCCCUGCCUGUGUUGAACCAGCUCUUUCAGGUCCUCUGCCUGCGUUGAACCAGCUCUUUCAGGUCCUCUGCCUGCGUUGAACCAGCUCUUUCAGGUCCUCUGCCUGUGUUGAACCAGCUCUUUCAGGUCCUCUGCCUGCGUUGAACCAGCUCUUUCAGGUCCUCUGCCUGCGUUGAACCAGCUCUUUCAGCUCCUCUGCCUGCGUUGAACCAGCAGUCUGAGUACUGAAGUUUUCUCACAAACAAAGAAAGGAAUAUCCUGUGCAUCUGGCAGAAUGGAGGGGAGGUUCCUGCUUCCCUGGAUUGUCUACAGUUCUGACAAACAUGGCCUGUGUCCCAAACGGUACCUUAUUCCCUUUAUAGUCUGCUACUGUAGAGCAGGGCCCUAGUGCACUAUAUAGGAAACAGAGUGCCAUUUGGGAUGAACACGUGGACUGUUUCUCGAAACUUCCCCUACCCUCUGCAUCCCCUAGCUCCAAUCCCCCAGGGACUGGAGUAGAUCUGAAAGGCUUGGGUAGGUAUCAGCAGUAUGGUGGAUGUUCCACCUAACCUAUCAGAAGGCAAGGUAGAGUCACUACCAUGUUGCUUAUACCUGUCCAACUCCUCCAGAUCUACAGGAAGUAUGUAGGCUGAAGUAAUGAGGCUAGGGGUUGGUUGUAAGGACCAGGCUAGAGAUCAGGCUAGGGGUUGGUUGUAAGGGGCCAGGCUCUAGGGACCAGGCUAAGGGGCCAUGCCAAGGCAAGGCUAAGGGAGUGGAGACCCAAGAGGGUGGGUAGUGAUAAUGUAGGCCAAGUUCUGAAGAAUGAAUGACAGAUUUUAAUACAUAUAGAGUUGAUUCAACCACGUACAACAAUGCAUAUAGCUGUAGGAUCUUAAUUUAAUCACUGUUUUGUUGCUGAGAAUUUUCCUGCUUUGUGAUUAACAUAAAUGAACUGAAAACCCACACUAACAUGUGAUCAUAUUAACACUAUUUUACAGUACUGCAGUACUUUAGUCCAGCUAAUAGCCUAACCACCGAUCAAGCAACAUUAUCGACAAGGGGAUGGUCAUCUGAAUGUGGUUAGGAGACUCAACAUUGAUGAGAAGAGGUCAUCUGAAUGUGGUUAGGAGACUCAACAUUGAUGAGAAGAGGUCAUCUGAAUGUGGUUAGGAGACUCAACAUUGAUGAGAAGAGGUCAUC
ensembl:lncRNA